CGGGUGAGUAACGCGUGGGUAACCUGCCUCAUACAGGGGGAUAACGGUUAGAAAUGACUGCUAAUACCGCAUAAGCGCACAGUACCGCAUGGUACCGUGUGAAAAACUCCGGUGGUAUGAGAUGGACCCGCGUCUGAUUAGCUAGUUGGUGAGGUAACGGCCCACCAAGGCGACGAUCAGUAGCCGACCUGAGAGGGUGACCGGCCACAUUGGGACUGAGACACGGCCCAG
rnacentral:rRNA from 1 species